UUUUAUGGAGAGUUUGAUCCUGGCUCAGGAUGAACGCUGGCGGCGUGCCUAAUACAUGCAAGUCGAGCGAACAGAUAAGGAGCUUGCUCCUUUGACGUUAGCGGCGGACGGGUGAGUAACACGUGGGUAACCUACCUAUAAGACUGGAAUAACUCCGGGAAACCGGGGCUAAUGCCGGAUAACAUGUUGAACCGCAUGGUUCUACAGUGAAAGACGGUCUUGCUGUCACUUAUAGAUGGACCCGCGCCGUAUUAGCUAGUUGGUGGGGUAACGGCCUACCAAGGCGACGAUACGUAGCCGACCUGAGAGGGUGAUCGGCCACACUGGAACUGAGACACGGUCCAGACUCCUACGGGAGGCAGCAGUAGGGAAUCUUCCGCAAUGGGCGAAAGCCUGACGGAGCAACGCCGCGUGAGUGAUGAAGGUCUUCGGAUCGUAAAGCUCUGUUGUUAGGGAAGAACAAAUGUGUAAGUAACUGUGCACAUCUUGACGGUACCUAACCAGAAAGCCACGGCUAACUACGUGCCAGCAGCCGCGGUAAUACGUAGGUGGCAAGCGUUAUCCGGAAUUAUUGGGCGUAAAGCGCGCGUAGGCGGUUUUUUAAGUCUGAUGUGAAAGCCCACGGCUCAACCGUGGAGGGUCAUUGGAAACUGGAAAACUUGAGUGCAGAAGAGGAAAGUGGAAUUCCAUGUGUAGCGGUGAAAUGCGCAGAGAUAUGGAGGAACACCAGUGGCGAAGGCGGCUUUCUGGUCUGCAACUGACGCUGAUGUGCGAAAGCGUGGGGAUCAAACAGGAUUAGAUACCCUGGUAGUCCACGCCGUAAACGAUGAGUGCUAAGUGUUAGGGGGUUUCCGCCCCUUAGUGCUGCAGCUAACGCAUUAAGCACUCCGCCUGGGGAGUACGGUCGCAAGACUGAAACUCAAAGGAAUUGACGGGGACCCGCACAAGCGGUGGAGCAUGUGGUUUAAUUCGAAGCAACGCGAAGAACCUUACCAAAUCUUGACAUCCUUUGACAACUCUAGAGAUAGAGCUUUCCUCUUCGGAGGACAAAGUGACAGGUGGUGCAUGGUUGUCGUCAGCUCGUGUCGUGAGAUGUUGGGUUAAGUCCCGCAACGAGCGCAACCCUUGAACUUAGUUGCCAUCAUU
rnacentral:rRNA from 1 species